rnacentral:rRNA from 1 species
GCAUAUCAAUAAGCGGAGGAAAAGAAACCAACAGGGAUUGCCUCAGUAACGGCGAGUGAAGCGGCAACAGCUCAAAUUUGAAAUCUGGCCUUCGGGUCCGAGUUGUAAUUUGCAGAGGAUGCUUCGGGCGAGGCUUCGAUCGAGUCCCCUGGAAUGGGGCGCCACAGAGGGUGAGAGCCCCGUAUGAUCAGCCGCCGAACCCGUGUGAAGCUCCUUCGACGAGUCGAGUAGUUUGGGAAUGCUGCUCUAAAUGGGAGGUAAAUUUCUUCUAAAGCUAAAUACCGGCCAGAGACCGAUAGCGCACAAGUAGAGUGAUCGAAAGAUGAAAAGCACUUUGAAAAGAGAGUUAAAAAGCACGUGAAAUUGUUGAAAGGGAAGCGCCUAUGACCAGACUCGGGCUCUUGGGAUCAUCCGCCCUUCUGGGCGGUGUACUCCCUCGUUCUCGGGCCAGCAUCGGUUCUCCUCGGGGGAUAAAGGCGCCAGGAACGUGGCUCCCUUCGGGGAGUGUUAUAGCCUGGCGCGUCAUGCUCCGGGGGGGACCGAGGACCGCGCUUCGGCAUGGAUGCUGGCGUAAUGGUCACCGGCGACCCGUCUUGAAACACGGACCAAGGAGUCAAGCAUUAGGGCGAGUGUACGGGUGUAAAACCCGAACGCGCAGUGAAAGCGAACGCUGGUGAGAGCUUCGGCGCAUCACCGACCGAUCCUGAAGUCUUCGGAUGGAUUUGAGUAGGAGCCUUAACGCUUGGACCCGAAAGAUGGUGAACUAUGCCUGAAUAGGGUGAAGCCAGAGGAAACUCUGGUGGAGGCUCGCAGCGGUUCUGACGUGCAAAUCGAUCGUCAAAUUUGGGCAUAGGGGCGAAAGACUAAUCGAACCAUCUAGUAGCU